rnacentral:rRNA from 1 species
GGGGACCAUCCUCCAAGGCUAAAUACUCCUGACUGACCGAUAGUGAACCAGUACCGUGAGGGAAAGGCGAAAAGAACCCCGGCGAGGGGAGUGAAAAAGAACCUGAAACCGUGUACGUACAAGCAGUGGGAGCCUCUUAAUGGGGUGACUGCGUACCUUUUGUAUAAUGGGUCAGCGACUUAUAUUCUGUAGCAAGGUUAACCGAAUAGGGGAGCCGAAGGG